rnacentral:lncRNA from 1 species
AGGUCAACAACACUUGUAUUAUUUAGUUAGUUUACUCUUUUACAGAUGCUACGCUCGCUGAUUCCGGUAUUGUCCUCAUCCAGAGUAAGAAGAGUUGGUGGGAUGCCCAGUCGUACUGCCGUGAACACCACACAGACCUGCCCAGCAUAAGGAACUUGGAGGAGAACAGUUUGUUCUCUAAAAUGAAUAAUCCCAAAGCAAAUAUAUGGAUUGGACUGCACCGGAACCUUUGGAGUACGUGGUCAGAUGGGAGCGACUCCUCGUACAGAGACUGGAGGCACAGAAUGCCCAACAACACUGAAAGGACCUUGACCAACUGCGCUAUGGCUCAUAUCUACUAUGGUUGGCAAUGGAGAGAUUAUUCCUGUCACCUGAAGUUCAAAUUUAUUUGUAGCGCGGGUAAGAUUUGCACUUAAUAUUUUGUUUAAACUAAUCUGUAUUUAUGUCUGCCAUUUAGACUUCAUGUCUGUCUGUGGGUCUGUGUGUCUGAAUUGGAGCUUUACAAUCAGCAAUUAGCUAAUCUUGAUAGUCGCAAUUUAUGUAUAAAAACAAACACAAAACUGAUACUUACAUAACCAAAGACAUAACAUAAAGCCGUUACAACUCAGCAAUUGUUAUUUUAUUAUAAUUGCUGUUUAUAUACAGCAGGCACCACAGAAUAUUCUUUGAAUUGCUAAUCUGUUAAUCACAAUGAAAUAAUCACGAUAACAAUAUCAUGUAAAAUAAUCGCAAAGAUAAAUCUUGAUUCUUGAGUUCUUCUGUCUUGUUGACUGGUUAAAUGCUAAAACAUUGUGCUUUCAGUUCCAGCCAUGAAGCAGUCGUUCAGAAUAAAGUUCAGCUCGACAGACAUCGACCCCAAUGACCCUGAAUUGAGUGAGGCGAUCCUCAAACAGUUGCACGGGAAGCUGAAGGAGAAGAUGGUGAACGAAGACCUCAAUCUGACUUGGACGAAGGCCCCAGACGGAGAGAUCUUCCACAACACACGCAAAGACGAGAAACAACAACAUCCUGAAUCUACAGCAACCUCUUCAACUAACCCACUGGUUCCCACCCUGUUUUGCCCUCUCAACUGAUUUUAGCGUUGUUUUAAUCAAAAUCUGCUGUUUUGCCACAUGACCUGAUUUUAGGGUUGUGAUUUUAAAGUUCUGCGUUCACAUGAUCAGCGCAUGUUUAGAGGACGAUUCCGGUAUUAACAACAUCACGAAGUAUCGUAGCGAAAUACAGUUUCUGUUGUGUUUUAUUUGGCGUUCCGUAAAUCCCAUUGAAACGGAAACCGGAACCGGACAUGUUUAUGUGUGGUUGUAGUCUUUUCGCUCGGUUCUCCGUAUCAACAGUAGGGCUAGAACCGAGCGAAAAGAUUACAAGCAACCCCCCUUGCAAUAAGCAAUGAGUCUUCCAACCGAAAUCAAUGGAUUUACAAAAUGCCAAAUAAAACACGACAGAAACUGUAUUUCGCUAUACCAUACUUGAUGAAACAAAAGAAGAUGAGGGUGUCUGCAAUUGCCUUGGGAGAGAGUAGACUCUAAACUCUCCCCAGGCAAUGCAGACACCCUGAAUUGUAAAUCCAGGGUUAGGGAUUAUUUACUAUCCAUGUUAAAAAGAGGAAGGAAUUAUGCCUCAGAUUGCAAUUUUUUUAAAUAUUGACUAUGCUUAAAGGAAGCAGGAUUAUUAUUUAAUUUUUCACUUUAUUUUUUGUUUUUACACAUUUGAAGAUUUUAUUUAAAGUCACAAAAUCACAAGUUGUCUUGUUAUCUUUAUUGUUGUUGUUGAUCCGAAAAUGAUCCGAUCCGUGACUCAAAAACCGUGACACGAUCCGAACCGUGAGUUUUGUGAUCCGUUGCACCCCAACACUAUACUAUACUACCUAUGUAGAAUGGCGUUACGUAGGUCUGAAAACUAGAAAUUAAAGAUAAUAUUCUGAUACUGCUGAAACAGCUCUAGAAUUGCCCAGUUUUAUAUUAUUAAUAAAUAAUGAUGAGAAUAGUGAGAUGGAUCGGACCCAAACAAUCAAAUGUGUCCAAUCUGAUCAUAUGUAAUAAUCUCUCUCCGUCUCCACAAUGUUUGAUACUGGCAGCCAUGCAAAGUCUUCCUUUGACUCAAACUGCACGGUCCAAGAUACCCCUCCCUUCCUCGCCCUGUCUCGUCUGUCUCAGUGUUAGUUGGACUAUGGAGGAGGACUUGGUAUUGAUUUGCCCGUAACCGAACUUCAAAACCUGAUGCAAACAAAGAUAUUGGCCUGUAAAUCCAAGAGGUUGAAAUGCAAAAUCCAAUUCAAUCCAAUGAAUAUAGUUUAGUAGAACAUAAUUUAUUAAUAUUGGAAGGAUAGUGUAGUGGUUGGGGUCUUGGACUCUCAUCUGAAGGGUUCUUGGUUCAAUGUCCACAGUUCUACUGUAGGACUCCUACAUCAAGAUGCUCCCUAACCUCUACCCCAUGAUCUGUAACCAAAUGAACUUUUGUUUUAUGCGAUGAGAUGACAAGUAGAUGUGUGGUUAGUUAUUUAUAAAACAGAUAGUGCCGAUCCUUGGUUCUGAUAGACAUUUAGCAGUUGUAAAAUACUCUGUAAACAUAGUCCUGUGACCUCAUAACAAUUCAUUUUAGAUUGAAUGCACAGCCAAUCUCACAGUAAGCUAGUCUGUGUUGCUUGGCAACUGUUGCUGUUGUUGUUGUCUUUAGGAAAUGUUGCUUUGCGGUAGAACAAUGUUUAUUUUCAAUAAUUGAUCACCUUUUACGUUGCUGAGUUUAUUUGUUUAAAUCUCACAAAAAGAUACUGUCUUAGUAGCCAUUUAAUAAAAGCAAAAACAUCACCGUGAUCCAUUGUCUUAAUCAGUCAUUCAAUAUAAGAUAUUAGUUAUUACUCACAUAUAUAGAUUUGAAUAUAGGGAUUAGCUAUUAGAUGUUAUUCAUUUAUUAGCCAGUAUAACUUUAUUAGGUAUUGGGGAUUAU